CAGCUGCCCUCAGCGACAUUUUAUAAUCCUAAGUUUACGUUCCUACUCAGGCUUCAGAAAACACGGGGCGUGAGACACUAAGGAAGUCAGAGUCUGUGUUUUUAUGUGUGCGAGGAGAGAGUUAUGCAAGUUCAUUGGUCAUUAACAGUUUCUUCACCUCCAAAAGCCUCUCUACACUCCUCCAAAUCUAAACACGCACAACUAUUACCUUCAUAAAUCCCUGCUCUUUCUGCCACAAACCCUCUUUCAAAAACAAAUGUUCUCUCUCACUGUCACACACACACACAUGGCCAUGGUUCACUGGCUCUGUGCACAGUCUUCCCUGUAUCUUUUUGUCUGUGGGCCACAAGGCUUUGUUUUGUGAAGAGAAAUAACAAAAAGCGACCCCCUAUUCCCUGACCCGCACCGCCUCUCGGCUGCUCUAAACCCCUCACACACAUUCCACACAGUGCCCGGGUCAAAGGCCACGACAAGCACAAUAACGAGUUAAAAAGGAAAGGGACGGACCGGGUGAAGUUCAUUCACAUCUCAAAUCCAGCUCAGAAGAGAAAGAGGGAUAGAGAGAGAGAGAGUUUGAGGAAAAAAUGCGCUUUAGGGACUGUAUUCUUUGUCUAAGUGAGCUGAGGGUAUACUAAUCACAUGUAUAUGAGGAGAAUUCACCCGACCUUUGGAGUUGAGCAUCUACAACAAUGGUAUCAGCAAAAGCUGAUUGUGAGGCUGCCUGGUUCUGGAAGUAUUUUUCAACAUUUAAAAAACCUUGAACCAAAUCACCCACUAUCAAGUUUGUGUGCUUAACAGGGAACAGAUGCAAAUUAUCAAACCCUAUUUUACCAAGAUGUGGGAGUAUCAUGCAAACAUCAUGCAAACAUGGUGACAUUCAAAAAAACACAAAAUUAUCUUCUCUAUCUUCUUUAUAUAGCGCUUUUUACAAUGUAGAUUGUGUCAAAGCAGCUUUACAUUGAUAACUGGUACAUUGUUUGGCUGCACAGCAGCUCUUAAAGAAUAGUGUCAAUGCAGGCAGAUCAAAGCACUGUUGAAUAUCAAAUGUCAAGUCAAGUGUCCCCAACUAAGCAAGCCAGAGGCGACAGCGGCAAGGAACCCAAACUCCAUCAGGUGACAUUAGGUGGCAGACAAGUGGCAAAUUGGUGUUAAAAUGGAGAAAAAAACCUUGGGAGAAACCAGGCUUAGUCGGGGUGCCAGUUCUCCUCUGGCCAACAGUGUUGACAAAUCUGGUCAAGUAUGAAAAAUGACAAAUGUUAAAUUAGUGUACAACUUACCAUGUUUUGAACAUGGCUCCUCUAAAGACUGAAAUGAUGUCACUUCCUCUUGAUCAUAUAUUUUAAAGAGACAGUUCACUUUUAUUUUGAGAUUGGUGUUUUUGAAGUUUAUUUUGAGUAAUUGGUGUUGUGGACAUAAAUGUUAUAUAAAUGUUAUUGAUCUAGCGUACACAUUUUAUCAGUAAUGUUUUUUGUCCUUCAUUGUUUCUUAACAGUCAACAUUACUUAACUAGCCUGCAACUCACCACAAAUCUUCUUGCUGCAAUUCUCAUUUCCAAGCUAACAGCAACUUCUUUGACUUGUAGAUCACUCUUCAGCUAUGUGGGUACUGAAGUACUUCACUGGGAAUUCAGCACCAGGAUUUUAAAGUUGAAAUUGCACGGCCUGUUGGCUUUACAGAAGCAUAUAUCAUCCAACGACCUCUCUGUGCUCAUUGUAGGUCUGUUUUGAAAAGUUUUUACGUUAAAUCAAUUUCGCUAUGGAGACUUUAAAUGGGAUUUUUACCUCCGGAAGCAGUCUGUUGUGCUCUAUUGUUUGUAUUGUGUGUGAGGGCACAAUCAUAAGGGCACUUGUGUGAGAGACAGUGUGUACUUGUUGAAAUGAGUGUGUGGGAGAAAGUAAGAUAAUUAAAAGCUGUUGUGGUCUCUGCACAGAGCGUGUCUCUAGAGGAAGAUGCUAAUCUUUACGAGCGUGUGUGUGACCUGUGUCUCUUAGGGAGGAUGUCUGUUCUGAUGGAAUGCUGACCUAGAAACCAGAGCAUGGAUAAUCCUGACAAGAUCACAAAUCUCAUUCUGUCACCAAAUGGAUGAUGUGUGUGAGCAUAUUUGCGGUUGUGUGGAACGAUAAUGAAAAUUACAUUUUAUUGCUCUGUUCCAAAAACUAGAGAGCCAUCUAUGGGGACAGCAUUUUUACAUAGUUACACUCCUGACAGGAAUGCUCUAGGUAACUUAGUUAUACUGCCUUGUAAAAUAUUCCUAAAACGUACCUUUAUUCUAAAGCAGCACUGCAUGUCUUCUUUGUGAAGGCAAUCACAGAAUGCACUAUGGCAAGCUGAAUGGUAAAAAAAAAAAAAUCAAGAUGGCAGAUGAUGUUGAUUAUAAAUAAACAUAAUUAAAUUCAAUACUUAAGAGAAAAAAUAGCUAAAAUAUCAAAUCGUUGAACAUUGAAGAAUGUUGGUCCCUAGAAUGUUCUUGGAACACAUACAUAUAGGCUAAAAAAAGUGUUUUUUUUUUUUUUUUUUUUUUUUUUAAAGAAAAUAAAACAAUCACAUUAAAUGUUUUAAAAAAAUGUUCUGGGAACAUUAAGUGGUUCCCAACAAAAAAUAACCAAAUGAGAACCAUACACUAGUUUACGGAGCCCCUAAAGGAACAUGGUGAUAGAAAAAAUAUGAGAUGGGAGGGAAAAAUAAUAAGUCAAUGCUUUUGCAUUCUCACGCAAAUGUUUUGCGUUCCCCCGAGAAACUUUGCAUUCACUCGCAAAACCUUUUGCGUUCCCCCGCAAAACUUUGCGUUCACUCGGAAAAACCUUUUGAGUUCUUUGCAAGCGAAUGCAAAGUUUAUCAGUGGAACGCAAAGUUUCUUUGAGGAACGCAAAACAUUGUGAGAGAACUCAAAAGUAUUGACAAAUAAAUUUUUCUCAAAGGGACAUGGUGGUGGAAAUAAAUGAGAUGGGAAGGAAAAUAAUAAGUCAGUGCUUUUGUGUUCUCUCGCAAAUGUUUUGCGUUCCCGCGAGAAACUUGAGCUCCUUGCGAGCGAAUGCAAAGUUUCUCAGGGGAAUGCAAAAGCAUUGAAAUAAUUUUCCCCCUCCCAUUUCAUAUUUUUCUUUAGGGGCUCCUAGCUAUUUGUAUGGUGUACAAAGUUGCUGCACAUGUAAAGCAUUUUUAAUAUCACUCACUUAGUGAUGAGGUUUCAUGACGGCUAGAAUGUUGCCUUAAAAAAAGCAGUUGCCUAUGUUGGCAGCAGUCUGCAAGGAAACUUACUAUAUUUAGGAUCAGAGUUUGUGUUGCAAAAUCACCCCCCAUUGCCCAGUAUUAUGAACAAUAUUAAGUGUAUGCUAGCAUAUGCACACGUGUGUAUGUGAUGCAUUGAUGAUACACAGAUGGUGUGAAAUCUGUUCAUGUGUUUAAAAAAAACAGAUACUCCUGGUAUGUGUCAGAAUAUCAAUAGAACUUUACAGCAAUGUGCGUGUUGACGGUUAUGCAAAUGUUGAUAGGGAGCCUCGUGUGUAACAUUCGAGUUAGUGAUUAAUGUAAGACUAGCUCCAGUGUAUGUAAGGGUCAAUAAACAGAAGAAUUUGAAGGGCGCACACCAUACAUGCACACGAAAAGAUUCAAUACUAACCUCUAGCCUCUAGCCAACCCCCUUUAAUUCACUGGCGAGCUCUCCGCACACACAAACAGACGAAUGAAAACAAACACGGGUGCACACAGUUUCGCUAUCUAUGAGGCCCAGACGGACCUUCUCCCCUCAGGCGGCCAUUAGCAGAGUGAAGCUUCAUCUCUGACAGCCUGUCAAUGGCCUUCUGGCGUGGAUAUUAUUGGACUGAAAAACAACUCUAUCACACUCUGCUAGAGUCUGUUUCAAGAACAAACAGACGCUCAAACGCAGCAGCCGUCGGUCCUUAUGACUGUACUGUGAAGGGUCAUGCGAGGUUUUGGUAGUGAGGGGUUUUUACGGCGCCUGUCAAAGUGCCUAUUUGAUUUAGUGCCCUGACUUGACGGGGGCAACACAUCAAACACUGAUAUAGAGAUGAACCAAGAAGGAACUUAAAGGAAGACAGAAUGAACGAAACCAGGAGGGGAAGGGAGUGAUUGUGCCAUUAAAAUGCCAGUGAUGUCAUCCAGCACUUAUUACAAGCCAGCAGCAAACCACAUCGACUCAAUGGACAAACAGAGUAACAACAGAGGUGGAAUGUGGGAAGAUAUUACGAGAUCAAGUGAGCGAGAUGGAAUAAGUAAAGAGGGAAAUCUAACAAUGCAAGGUCAAAAACUGCAUAAAACAACAAAAAGUGUUAAAAACGCCCUCUGGGAGAUUUGAGACCAUACUAAAGGUGAAUGAUAGCCAUGAUAAACUAGCAACUUUUCAGUUUUAUCAUUGAGUUUUACUGCAUGGAAUGCAAUCUUUAUUUGAUAUAGGGUUGGAAAGAGAGAGAAAAGGGAGUUAAAAGAGAGGUCUGGUAAAGGAACAGGUGCACACACUGUUUCCCCAAUGUCUUAUCUCAACAUCUUUUUAAACAUUAACAUUUAUUUAACAUUGCCUCAAUGUUUUUAUAACAUCUCAACAAAUCCAAACAUCAAGUCCCGUCCAGUCCAACUGGACUUCUAAAACACUGAAAGUCUUCUUGCCUCCUGAAAUCAGCAUUGUUUAUAGAAAUACUGUUAAGAGUUAAACAGUCUUUCACUUUCAAGGCAUUUCAAGUUAUAUUAAGUUAGUUGAUAAUAUUUCAGUGUAAACAAAUAAAUCUAACAGCCAUUAUUAAAUGAGUGUGUAAAAUGCUGAAACAGGGUUUGGUGUUCUUGUGUGGUCGCUAUUGGAAUUUUUUGGUUAGGUUUUGAAAUGCUUUGGGUGGCUUAUAGGUCAAUGCUAAUCAGGCCAGAUGGCUUGCCUUCGCUCAACAGAGAAGCUGGACAAAGAAAAAAAAAAUCCUGCCUAACCCGUGGCAUGGCUAUCCGAGGAAGUGCUUUACGUCUUAGGAUUCAGGCAGUCGAGUAUAUCACAUAAUGCUGGUUUAAAGGAGAAUUUAUACAUGGCUAAAGACACUAAAAGAAGUAUGCAUAGGCUUGACAAUGGUUCCUCCAGGUCUGUAGGGGGCAGUAGUAGGAAAUACAUCCCUAUUGAAUACCACAAUAAUAGACUUCUGUAUGAAAACUGCUUUAAAUAAUGACAACAGUCUCUGUGAAUGGCUGUACAUCAGAAAACUUUGUAAAAAUAAAAUAAUAAUAAUAAAAAAUCUUAAAAUCUUCUGCCCAUUCAAAUAAGUACUGAUUUCGAAGACAUAACUCAAAAAACAAAGCAGAAUAAAGUUCUGCUUCUAGAUAUUUAGUUUACUUGCUAAUAAGUGUCUUAAAUAAAACUUUAUAUCUUUUUUAAAGAUUUUAUGUCUUUAGUGAUUUAAACACAGCGUAGUCUGAUUCCCAAACAAAUGACUCUGAAUGUUCCCUAUUAGUGAAUAAUAAUAAUAAAAAAAGAGACUCACUUACUGAAAAGUUAUUAUUUUCAUCAUAAGGCUUGUGGGGCUUAAAUCAGUGUAUUUCCUGGCUUAACGUUCAUAUGACAAUGUGCAGAUAAAGAUACACAUUUUUUUUUGUUUGUAAUGUGUCAUUUUAUAAAAAUGAAUUAAUGUUAAUAUGAAAAUAGGAAAUCUUACCAAUUUUUUGACUUUAGUCUUUUUAUUUAAUACAUAGUUAGGAUUAAUUAUUGGAUUGCAUUUAUGCCACCAUUAAAAAGUCUGUGAAAAGUCAAACUCCAUUUAGCAUUAGACUGAUGAGGAUAGUAAAUGCAAUAAAAAAAAAUUGCAUUUCUUUUUCCCCCCAAAUAUAUUUUCCUCUGAAGCACUAAAAAAAAAAUCAUCAAUGGAACUGUUAAGGGGAAUCAGAACCACAAUUGUUAAAUUCUUUAUGGUUCCCAUUGCUAGUUACCAUGGCCACGAGUAGGGUAGGUUCCUUCAUUUAGACUAUUCUCAUUUGCUCAAUCUACAAAUGAAUCAACACUGUGGAAAGCAAAAAAUUGUGAAAGAACAAAAACAUGAAAAACAUCCCAUAGCAAAAAAAAUCCCAUAGCAAAAUGAUAAAGGUGCCAUUUCUGGUUUCUAGCCAUUUGACAACAAGAAAUCCAAUAAAUCAACACACAGA